GUCGUGAGGUAGACCGCCGCACCUCCCGUAAAUUUCAUUCCACCUUCCCCACUAUUUCCACCAAAAUCCGGCCUUGGUAUAAACUAUUAUUGUAAGAGUACAAACGAUUGUUACGAUAAGACAGCUAAAUAGUGUAUAAAAGCUGUAACAUUACUUUAUCAACCAUUAAAAAACUCAUUAAUAAUUCAGGAGGAAAACACAAAGAAAAAUCAUAAGCGUGUCGUAUCUUUAUAUGUGAUAAAAAAUCAUGUUAAUUUACAUAAACUUUAGCUUUGAUCUUCUCGGUUUAGACAAAGUUUAUUUUAAAAAUUACUUCGCUAAUGUACUCAUCAGAAGAUGGGUCUUUUUGUAAGCCAUUUAAAGCAAUUGUAGUCGUGUUUUAUCAGACAUAAAACGCUCGGCUGCACCUCGCGUUUUAUAUCUGAUAAAACACUCCUAAGCGUGCUUUAAAUGGUACUUAAAUUAUUUUUUCACAAACAAAACCAUUAUAUUUUAUCGCCAUGCAAACAUACAAAGAACUUACAUUAAAGCAUUGUCAGGCCAUAACGUAAGCUAUUGCAAGAAUUUAAAGUUUGUUCGUUCACUGCAACAGGGUAUAUCAAUCAUGUUUCGCUCGCUACUCUGGUUUAAAUAAAUGAUUACAAAGCCCAGUCGAAUUGUAAUCAAGACCCAGCGUUUCGACACUCCAGUCUGGUGUCUUCAUCAGGGGUAAUCUAAAACUGCGAUCGUGGCUUCUUAAAUACCCAAGGGAUGACGUCACCUGCCAAUGAGAUGCAUAUAUUCCUCUGGCAAAUAGGCACCGUCAUCCCUAUUCAAAGCAUGACGGUGGCUAUUUGCCAGAGGAAUAUAUGCAUCUCAUUGGCAGGUGACUUCAUCCCUUGGGUAUUUAGGAAGCCACGAUUGCAUCUUUAGACUGACCCCUGAUGAAGACACUAGACUGGGGUGUCGAAACGUUGGGUCUUGACUAUUGCAAAAAGUUGAAGGCAAAAACGUUUAAAGAACUAUGAUUUACAGCUACCAAAAAUUGGUCAUAUUGGAAACAUAAUUCGCCCCCCCCCCGGAAUAUUUCCAUAAAUCGCCCCUCCCCCUUGAUUUGAACAGUUAAUUGGUAUACACUUGCCUACCACAUGGUAAAAUUUUCAUUCAGACUAUUUCAUCGUCUAUUUUACAAUAGUCACAUUCAUAAUCUAAUUAAAUAUAAACCUUUUCUUCUUUUUAGACAGGCUAUGAAGUUGUAUUUUGUAAAACUUCACGUUUUCAGCGUUGGUAUAUAACCAAAUUGAUUAACAUAGUCCAAUCUUAUUCAUUGCUAUUGUUCCUGAUUACGAGAGUAUAUCCAUAGAUAUCUUAUAUACACUAGAUAGUGCAUCUAAUUACUCUGUAAUUCAAAAAUUGAAGCCGUGAUUGCAGUCUCAGGUCGUUCCCAUGAAAUGAGAAGGUUCGUAUGUUUUCUAUUUCUUAA